UGGUUACCAUAAGUUGGCAAUCUGGGUGUU
rnacentral:piRNA from 1 species